GCUUACUGUUGGUGUAAAGGUGCUUGAAAUUCUAGAAGCUUUUUAUGUGUUUUCAGUUGAUAAUGCUUUAUCCUUGAAUUGCAAAACCAUGCUUCUAAUUGAAAUCUUCAGGGUUUCAAAGUCUCUCAUUGAGUCAAAAUUCUUGAACCACAGAGACUCUAGUAACAUCCUGCAGAGAUUCCUUGAAAUUCCUAUUAAGAACUUCUUUGGACAUAUCUAUCCACUGGAUUGGCGAAUGCCAAUGACAAAAGAUAUGAUUUAUCUUAGAGAUACAGAGCUUUCGAGGAAUUUAUUGAGGGAAGUUGUCUACAGAAUCAUUCGCUCAAGGGCUAUUGCUAAUGGACAACUUGGAAUGCUAAUGACGAUUAUUUUGUCUGGAAAAUUUUCAACUAAUCUCUACAUGCAGAUUGCAACAACCCUUGGCGAUAAUAUAUCUUGGAAAGAGUUCAUUGAGAAUUUCAUCCAAACUAAAAGUAAUGAUAAUUCCAUUGAAGAUCCAAGUGAUUUUGAUUUGGUUGUGAAAUUCCAUAGAGCUUUAGCAGAUACUGAAUAUACAGACUUUUCACCAAGUGUAUUUUUGUACCUUGUGGAUCGUCUCCUUAUCCUGGUUUCCUACUUGAAAGGUUACUUCUUCACAACUAAGUCUUCUUUGGUUGAAUGGCUUAUGUCCAGGGGAUGGAACACUGAAACAAAUUUGGAUUAUUUAUCUGAUGUGCAAGUGCAACCAUUACUUGAAGAAACUGUCGGCUUUGUGGCCCACACAGUUAAUAAACUCAUUUGUAGUGAGCCUCUAAAAUGGAUCAAAAGGUACAAUCUGAAAAUGGAAUUCUACCCUCUUCUAGUGCUGAGAUUGUUUGUUGUGCUUUGUCUACUUUGCAUCAACUUUGAUGGGUAUUAUGGUUUGUUAUUCAAUUUGUUGGAUAAGAGAGAAGUUACCUCUUUGUUGCCAUGGAAGUUUUACAAGUCCCUGUGGAGGUUAAGGGAACAUGAGAAAGCACAUAUAAACAUUAAAGUUGUUUCAGAGGCACUAAAAGGUAUUGGAAACCCUCUUGUAGUUGUCAAUCUGGGAUUACAUUGUGCAGAAUUUUCAUUUCCAGGUGCAAUUUUUCUGCACUUGAAUGUUGAGCAAGGCAGAAAAUGCAUUCUGCAGAGAUUAUUUCUUAAGAAUGAUAUGUUUUCUUCCAACCGAGCUCGCUGUUCCAAGUUGGCAAGGAAAGACUCAUUUGGCGGAGGGAUUUCUUUGAAGAUAAAUCACCAAGAGAUUCCUUCAGCUUCAAGUUUUGUCACUACAUCUGACCCUGUGAAAGCACAACAGACUAAUAGGAACUUUUGGGCUAUGCUUGGAACAGUUGAAUUUAACCCACUGACUGAUGCUUCAUGGUUGAUGGAAAUGAUUUUAGAAUAUGUUCUCCUUGUAAAUGCUACAAUGCGAUGUUGCCGUCGGGGUAAUUGUUGUCACAGUAGUGGAAGUGCUGCUGGGAUGGUAAACAAAGUCCGUGAUGAAUUGCAGCAACUUUAUUCAGCAUUGGAUUCAAGUGAAUGGGAAGUUCAAGACAAUAGAAUAAUUCGAGACCUUUUGAAGAAGUUGCAGUUAAGAAGGAAAAGGAUGGAACCUCUUCUGGAUCAGCUACUGAUCUGUGAUAGUAACAAAAGAACGGAACAUGCAGCACUGAAGACUAGCGUCAAAGAUGGUGAUAGUGGUACUGCUGAAAAAUCUAGCACUGGGACUGAGGCUUCAAAUUCUACAAGUUGCUAGCAAUUACCUAAAGAAUGCAAGGUAGUGUGUGGUUUCAAAUUUUUCAUAGUUGAAAGGUGUAUAUAUAGAAUUGGAUUGAACCCUUUGUUUUGGUGGUUGAUGAGCCAUUCCAGCAAUUAAAAUCCAAUACUAGGGAU
rnacentral:misc_RNA from 1 species